rnacentral:lncRNA from 1 species
AUGAAAAAAACUAACAGACAGGAAGAAAAGAAAUUGCUGAUCUAUGACAAAUCCAACAAAAUAGGAUGCAUAUACUUUAUUGGUAUGAACAGUAAUUUUUACCGAGGCAAAAUGAUUCUCAAAAAGAACAUUGUAAGUGAUAAGAUAGUCCGAUACACUAAUUUAAGCGAUAACCUUAUGUUAAUAAUGAAUGGUGAUUAUAAUAUAAAGCAAACAGCUAUACUAAUAAAAGGGAUAACAGUAUUUUUACAUAGACAGUUAGAAAUAUUACUUUCUGAUUUUUAUGCUAUGUAUAAAAAGUGUUUAUACAGCAAUUUCGAUGAUAAUACCAAUGAUAAAAUAGGUGGUAUAUUAAAAAAAUAUAAAACACAUAAAAAAUUAAAAACAAAUAAAAAUCUAUUGUGUUUAAAGGAUGUUUCAAAUAGAAAUAAUACUACUACUGAUAUUUUUAUGAAAAAUAAUAAUAAUUAUUUAACUAUAAAUAAAAAUGUAGCAAAUAUAAAUGAUAUUUUGUUAAGAGAUUAUAAUAAUGAUGAACAAAAUCAUGAUUAUAAUUUUAUGCAUGUCAGUGUAAAUAAUGAUGAUAAUUUUAUGUACCAAGAUAUAUUAACACAUUCAUCAAUUGAGUAUUCCAAACUUAAUAACUUUUAUACACUUAACAAUGACACACUAGCUUAUAAUUUAAAUACUAAAAAUAAUUCAAUUCAAAUGAAAACAGAAGAUUGUAGUAGUAAUACAAUGAUAAACUUUAAUUUAUUAAAUAAUAAAAAAGGAACUAUAAAUAUAGAUAAUAACAACUUUCUUAAUAAUAGUUUAUGUGAUAGUAAACAUAUGGAAGAUACUAAAAAAUUUUCAUUCAGUUUGAUAAAUAACAAUAGUUUGUUAAUGCACAAUACUGUUUUAAAUAAUAAAUUAAAUAAUAACAUAGGAAAUGACCCUACAAACGCAUCUACUAUAAAUAACGACAACAAAAUUAAUAAAAAAAAUAAAAAUAAAAGAAAUUUAUGUGAAAUUGAUCAAGUAGUUACAUUAAAUUAUAACAUAUGGCAAAUUGAUACAACCAUAAAAAAAAGAAAAAAAAAACAACAAUUUAUUUUAUGA